rnacentral:lncRNA from 1 species
UGCUGAGGUGGGAACUCUGAUCUUGUCUCUGCAGCUGCUCUUGAGACAUUUCUGAGCUUAUGCUCGCUUUCACGGACUCCAGUCCAGCAGGAGCUAGACAUGGAUUCCGGAGUCUCAAUACAACCUUUUUAUGCCACUCACUCACAGAACAGAUGCCUAUUCACCGGCUGCAUGGUUCCAACAGAGGAGAGGUUAGGAGAGAGAGCCUGCCAGAUGCAAGAGAGAUCCAGUGCAUGAUGUUCUGUCAGCCCAAAUGGAGACAAGGAAUCGACCUGCCAUCUUUGUUCUCUGUCCACCAUCUACAACUUCUGGGGAAGGAGUUUCCUCUCCUUGCAAUUCCUUCCAAAGGGAAAAACAGCAAAUCUCAGUCCCCAGCCUCUCCGGGCAUCGCCUUUCCUUCCAGGAUCAUGUGACUCAUUAGAAACUGGGUGGUCAGAUAAUAGAGGCCUAACUCAACGCUGUUAUCUCACCGACUCUCACCUCCUCUGGAUGCCAAAGGGUGAGUGUAGCAUACACUGAGAGAUGGCACAUCUUUAGCUCUGAACAAAGGGCUGCCUAGAGACUGCUGUCACAUUUCAGAGGAGAGCACUUUUAUCCCUGGAGAUGGGGUUGAAGUUCUAGUGUGAAGAGAUGGGAGGGAGACUGGGGUCAUGGCCACCCUCCCUUAGGCCCCAUCAGACUGCACAGAUGGCUGCUUUGAUGAGCUAUCUUUUGAGGGCAGAAGCUGUACCUUAUUUAUCAGUGUGUCACAGUUCUUGGUACAUAGAUGGUGCUGGAUGGACGAUGAAAACCAGAACAGGCCUGAGUGAUUGACAGCUCCCAGUAGCCCCUGGGCAGCAUGGUACCUCAGUGGCUAUGCGCUUAUGAGGGCUACUCCAUACAUGCUCUCAUCCAUGAUGCUAUUUUGUUUUUGUUUAUUUCUGAGAGAGAGUCUCACUCUGUAGCCCUGGUUAUCCUGGAGCUAUCUAUGAAGACCAGACUGGAUUCUACUUUGUUUAUCAAAAGUCUUAGAAAUUAGGCAAAGAACAUCCCCAGCUGCACUUUCAUGAAGGAAUGCCUUCUAAAUCAAUUGGGAAAAACAAGAAAACCACUCUAAUUCUCCUGUGAGCACCAAGCUUGACCACCAACAUAGAAACACCAGGGGUUUGAAGGACACUGCUGACAUCCGUCCAGAGCAUCAACCAAACAAAGUUGAAGGUUAAGGUUGACACUUUUGGGAACAAUGACAAAGGUACACAGAUGCUGUUCACUGUGGCUGUUGUAUUAUUAUGAAUGUUUGGAACCUCAUCGGGUACUGUGAAUUAUUGUUGUAGGAAAAUAAAUAGCAAUAAGUGUAUAUACAGUAUAAGCUUUCCCCUAGUCCUGUGAGUUGGCUGGGUCUGUCUGGUUCAAGUUGGGAAUUCCAGCUGCUCAGACAGGAUUGUAAUCUACAGGCUUGCCUUGGGGGAAAAGUGGGUUCAGAGGCAGCCUGAGCUACUUUCUAAGUGAGCCUGUCUCAAAAAUAAAAUCAUGCUGAGUAUAUAGCUCUGUGCUAGACUUUGCCUACCAUCCCUGGUUUAAAAAAAAAAAUCCUAUGGGUGGAGUUCCAAGAAACAACAAAGUCUGAAAGCAAAAACAAAUCCAAGAGACUGCUCAUCAGAUAAAGGCAACUACCUAAAUCUGAUGACCCAAGUUUCAUCUGGGGGGUUUUACGGGCCAGAAGAGAGAACUGACUCUUGCACGUUGUCCUCUGACCUCCAUAUACUCGCUACAGCAUGUGUACCCACACUCCAAAUACACCCAAAAGAAAAAACACUAUAGGUUUUUUUUUAAAGUCCCAAACCAUGAUUCUGUGUAGUGCUGUUGCCUCAAACAGCAAUUAAGAACAUUCCCACAAGCCAAUCUAAUAAGGGCAAUUUUCUUUAGCUCAGUCUCUCUUCCUGAGUGACUCUAGGUUUGUGCCACCUUGAAACUAUGACAAGUUAUUUCUCAUUUUUCCUCAAUAAAUCUGUGUUUGUUCUGAUUACUGCUUAUCUGUGCUUCCUUUUUCUCCUUGGGCGUGAGACAAGGAACUUGGGGUCCGCUGGCCUGGGGUGUCUGGCUAUUAUCUGACUGUCUGGGGCCCUUGUACCUUGAGUUAAACCCUGAGAGCAAGGAACGGCUCAGUCCUCUCAAUAAACCGCUCUCAGUUUGACAAAUGGUAACUAAUUCAAAAGUAGAAGUGAUGCUAUGCAGUUUUCUUAGUAAAAACAAGAACUAAUGCGAACUAAUUCCUUUAUUAUUCCUUGGGUACCAGGAACUUCUAAAAUAUAGGUCAGAAAGAACAGUGCACAGCAAAAUACAAUCUAAUUUGAGAUUUUCCACUUUAUAUUAAUGAAUUUACCUAGCAAAGCAUUUUACUAAGUUAAAAAAGAAAAAGACCACAUUUUCGUCUCCUUAAAGGGGAUUUUUUUUUUUCUUGAAAGGAGGCCUUUUAUAUUUCAUUGCAGGUCUCCCCCAACCCUGCACCAGCUUAUGUAUUUUUUUUUAGCUACACUAUACAACUUUAAAUGUUAAAGAC